CCGCAGCCGCGGUAAUUCCAGCCUCCAAUAGCNUAUAUUAAAGUUGUUGCAGUUAAAAAGCUCGUAGNUGAAUUUCGGGGUUANUAGGUUGGUCAUGCCUCUGGUAUGUNCUGGUCUCACUGGAUUCCUCCUUCCUGAUGAACCGUAAUGCCAUUAAUUUGGUGUUGCGGGGAAUUUNGACUGUUACUUUGAAAAAAUUAGAGUGUUUAAAGCAAGCUAACGCUUGAAUACAUUAGCAUGGAAUAAUGAAAUAGGACGUUCGAUCCUAUUUUGUUGGUUUCUAGGAUUGACGUAAUGAUUAAUAGGGAUAGUUGGGGGCAUUAGUAUUCAAUUGUCAGAGGUGAAAUUCUUGGAUUUAUUGAAGACUAACUACUGCGAAAGCAUUUGCCAAGGAUGUUUUCAUUAAUCAAGAACGAAAGUUAGGGGAUCGAAGACCGAUCAGAUACCGUCGUAGUCUUAUGCCAUAACACUAUGCCGACCUAGGGANUCGNAGGNUGUUAAUUUUUUAAUGANCUCA
rnacentral:rRNA from 1 species